AUAGAAUUUUAUAUUAACUUUACCUAGCGGUUAAUGCUGGUUUUUUGUUAAUAUUUGGUUGGGAGGAUUAUUAAAUUUAACAAACUUUAUAUCAUUAUAAACUUUGAUUUAAGAAAAUAUAAUGAUCUUCAAUUUGAAAUAGUUAGAGUAAAUUACCUUAGGGAUAACAGCGUAAUAUUUUUUUAUAGACCUUAUAGAAAAAAAUGGUUGCGACCUCGAUGUUGAAUUAAGAUAAAUUUUAAAUGCAGGAGUUUAAUAAUUAAGUCUG
rnacentral:rRNA from 1 species